AUUUGAUGAUGUGGGCAUUGACUUCAUAAUUCUCCGAAUCUUUCCCAAGCUUCGUAGAAUUCUCAGUAUAUUACUGCCUAACGGUUUGGAUUUUAUUCUUAAACU